AAAGGUUUAAUAGGAAUUUAUCAAAAGAAGAUGCACAAAUGACAAAUAGGCAUAUGAAAAGGUGCUCAAUAUCACUGAUCCUCAGAGAAAUGCAAAUCAGAGCUACAAUGAGAUAUCAUCUCACUGCAUUUAAAAUGGCUUCCAUCCAAAAGUCAGUCAAUAACAAAUUCUGGCGAGGAUGUCAAGAAAGGGGAACCCUCAUACAAUGUUGGUGGGAAUGUAAAUUAGUACAGCCAUUAUGGAGAACAGUUUGAAGGUUCCUCAAAAAACUCAAAAUAGAGCUACCAUAUGAUCGAGCAAUCCCACUGCUGCAUGUAUACCCAAAAGAAAGGAAAUAAUUGUAUCAAAGAGAUACCUGCACUGCCAUGUUUAUUGCAGCAUUGUUCACACUAGACAAGAUGCGUCUACCCACAGUUGAAUGGAUAAAGAAAAUGUGAUAUAUCUACACAGUGGAGUGCUGUUUGGCCAUAAAAAAGAAUGAGAUCCUAUCAUUUGCAACACGGAUGGAACUGAAAGUCAUUACGUUAAGUGAAAUAAGCCAAGCACAGAAAGACAAACAUCACAUGUUCCCAAUUAUUUGUGGAAUCUGAAAAUCAAAGCAAUUGAACUUAUGGAGAUAGCGAAUGGAAAGAUAGUUACCCGAGGCUGAGAAAGGCAGUAGGAGGUCAGGAGAGGGGAGGUGGGAGUGGUUAAUGCAUACCAAAAAAAAAAAGUUGGAAAGAAUGAGUAAGACCUAGUAUUUGAUAGCACAACAGGGGUGCUAUAGUCAAUAACAAUUUUACUGUGCAUUUUAAAAUAACAAAAAGUAUUAUUGGAUUGCAUCACAAAUUUAACAUUUGUAACAAAAUGAUAAAUUCUUAUUAAGUGAAUAGAUACCCCAUUUUCCAUUACUAUGCAUUGUAUCCCUGUAUCAAAACAUGUCAUAUACCCCAUAAGUAUAUAUACCUACUGUGUACCAAUAAAAAUUUAAAGUAAAAAUACAGUUUAAAAAAAAACAUUGAGGAGAAAGGAUAUCUGCCUGAACAGAUGUUUAAUGCAGCUGAAAGUGCUCUGUUCAGAGGAAAAAACAAUGCCACAGAAGACAUUUGUUAGUAAGGAAGACAAGCAAGCACUAGGAUUUAGGACAGGAAAGGAUAGGCUAACUCUGCUGUUUUGUGCAGAUGCAGUUAGGUUUAUGAAAGGACUGCCCCCAUCUAUAAAGCAGCUAAUGCCCAAACCUUGAAGGGAAAAGAUAAAUAUCAGCUGCCAGUCUUUUGGUUGUACAUCAUGGAGUCCUGAACAACAAGAGCUUCUUCUGUAUUGGUUUCAUUGAUUAUUUGUUCCUGAAGUCAGGAAGUACUUUGCCAGUAAGGGAAUGCCUUCCAAUGUUCUUUUGAUAUUGGACAAUGCCCUUAGCCACCCAGAACCCCAUGAGUUCAACACUGAAAGCAAUAAAGUGGUCUCUUUGCCCUCAAGCACAAUAUCUCCUUGUCAGUUUCUAGAUUCGAGGGUCAUAGGGACCUUUACGUCUCAUUACAGAGGAUGCUAUAUGGAAAAGGUUGUUAAUGCUGUGGAAGAGAACCCCCGACAGAAGGAUUCAGGAUACCGUUGAAGAUACCAUUGUUAUUACAGAAAUAGUCCAUCAAAGUCAUGAAGUCCAAAACAAUAAAUUCCUGCUGGAGAAUAUGUCCAGAUGUUCAAAGGAUUUAGAACAGAGUUGCCGAAAUAAAUCAUGAAAGAGAUUGUGGAUAUGGCAAAAACAAACAAAAAAAACAGUGAGAGGUGAAGGGUUUCAGGUUACAGAUUUUGGAGAAAAUCAAGAGCUCAUGGACACCACACCAGAGGAAUUAACAGAUGAUAACUUGAUAGAGAUGAGUGAUUCCAAACCAGUGCCAGACAAUGAAGAAGAUGUAGAAGAGCAAUGCCAGAAAACAAAUUGACAUCAAACAAUCUUGCAGAAGGGUUCCUACUACUCAAGUCUGCUUUUGACGUCUUUUAUGACAAGGAUUCUCCUAUGAUACUAGCACUGAAACUAAAGCAAAAAGUGGAAGAAGGAUUGGUACUGUUUGGAAGCAUUUUUAGAGAAGUGAAAAAGCAAAAAAGACAAAUUACAGUGUAUUCCAUAAAGUUACACUGAGUGUGCCUGCCUCUCAUGUCUUUCUUUCCACCUCCUCCGCCUCUGACACAACAAGACCAACCCCUUCUCUCCUUCCUUCUCCUCAGCCUACUCAGCUAGAAGAUGAAGAUGAAGACCUUUAUGAUGAGCCACUUGCACUUGAUGAAUAGUAAAUAUCUUUUCUCUUCCUCAUGAUUUUCUUAAUGUUUUCUUUAGCUUACUUUAAGAAUAUAAUAUAUAAUACAUAUAAUAUACAAAAUAUGUGUUAAUCAACUAUGUUACCAAUAAAGCAUCCAUCAGGUCAGAAGUAGACUAUUAGUAGUAAACUUUUUGGCGAGUCAAAAGUUACAUGCAGAUUGUUGACUGCAUGUAGGGUCAAUGCCCCUAACAACCCUGUUGUUCAACGGUCAGUUCUCUUUGCAAAAGGAAACCCUAGAGCCUUAUAACCUUUGUUUUUAUCUUAGUCUGUUCUUACACUGCUAUUAAGAAAUAACUGAGACUGCGUAAUUUAGAAAGUAAUGGAUUCAUGGUUAAUCGGCUCAUGGUUCCGCAGGCUGUACAGGAAGCAUGAUGCUGGCAUCUUCUCAGCUUCUGGGAAGGCUUCAGGAAACUUAACAAUCAUGGUGGAAGGCAAAGCAAGAGCAGGCUUCUUCACGUGCCCAGAGCAGGAGAAAGAGAGUGGGGAGGGGCCACCCAUUUUUAAACAACCAGAUCUCUUGAGAACUUGCUCACUAUACACUGCCAAGGGGGGAUAGUGCUAAAGCAUUUAUGAGAACUCUACCCCUAUGAUCCAAUCACCCCCACCAGGACCCACCUUCAGCAUUGGGGAUUUUAUUUCAACAUGAGAUUUGGAUGGGAACACAGAUCCAAACCACAUCAGUUCUCAUUUAUGUCAGAAUGUUUCUCAGCUCUGUUUUACAAAAGUGAAAGGUUCUUUCCUGGGAAUUCAGAGACCCAUGUUCUGGUGUUCUCUGUACCUUGCUGUGUGACGUUAGGUUAGUUAUUUGACCCCUCUCUGUCUCAUUUUCCUUCUUCUAAGUGGCAGUGGAUUAUGUGAUUCCCCGAUGGCCCUAUGCCUUCUAAAUUGCAGUGACCUAAGAUCAGUUACAUAAGCAGCAAUUUGGGAAUGGCUGGAUUACAGUUACUGAGAAAGAUUAAAAGA